GAUGAACGCUGGCGGCGUGCCUAAUACAUGCAAGUCGAGCGAACAGACGAGGAGCUUGCUCCUCUGACGUUAGCGGCGGACGGGUGAGUAACACGUGGAUAACCUACCUAUAAGACUGGGAUAACUUCGGGAAACCGGAGCUAAUACCGGAUAAUAUAUUGAACCGCAUGGUUCAAUAGUGAAAGACGGUUUUGCUGUCACUUAUAGAUGGAUCCGCGCCGCAUUAGCUAGUUGGUAAGGUAACGGCUUACCAAGGCAACGAUGCGUAGCCGACAUGAGAGGAUGAUCGGCCACACUGGAACUGAGACACGGUCCAGACUCCUACGGGAGGCAGCAGUAGGGAAUCUUCCGCAAUGGGCGAAAGCCUGACGGAGCAACGCCGCGUGAGUGAUGAAGGUCUUCGGAUCGUAAAACUCUGUUAUUAGGGAAGAACAAAUGUGUAAGUAACUAUGCACGUCUUGACGGUACCUAAUCAGAAAGCCACGGCUAACUACGUG
rnacentral:rRNA from 1 species